rnacentral:rRNA from 1 species
GACGAACGCUGGCGGCGCGCCUAACACAUGCAAGUCGAACGAGCAAAGAGGAGCUUGCUUCUCUGAGCGAGUGGCGAACGGGUGAGUAACGCGUGAGGAACCUGCCUCAAAGAGGGGGACAACAGUUGGAAACGACUGCUAAUACCGCAUAAGCCCACGGGUCGGCAUCGACCAGAGGGAAAAGGAGCAAUCCGCUUUGAGAUGGCCUCGCGUCCGAUUAGCUAGUUGGUGAGGUAAUGGCCCACCAAGGCGACGAUCGGUAGCCGGACUGAGAGGUUGAACGGCCACAUUGGGACUGAGACACGGCCCAGACUCCUACGGGAGGCAGCAGUGGGGAAUAUUGCACAAUGGGGGAAACCCUGAUGCAGCGACGCCGCGUGGAGGAAGAAGGUCUUCGGAUUGUAAACUCCUGUUGUUGAGGAAGAUAAUGACGGUACUCAACAAGGAAGUGACGGCUAACUACGUG